GGACUACACGGGUAUCUAAUCCUGUUUGCUCCCCACGCUUUCGCCCAUCAGCGUCAGUACUGGCCCAGAGUGCCGCCUUCGCCACCGGUGUUCUUCCUGAUAUCUAUGCAUUUCACCGCUACACCAGGAGUUCCGCACUCCCCUACCAGACUCAAGCCAUAGCAGUAUCGGGUGGCGUCCCCAGGUUGAGCCUGGGGUUUUCACACCCGACUUACCAAGCCGCCUACGGGCCCUUUACGCCCAAUAAAUCCGGACAACGCUCGGACCCUACGUGUUACCGCGGCUGCUGGCAC
rnacentral:rRNA from 1 species